GUGUACACAAGAUAGAGCCCAUAUCAAGUUUUUUUUAACUUUACAAUUAAAUCCACCUUCAAAAGUAUUCUUCAAAAUCUUUAUCCGUUUUAUUCUAAUAAAUGUAACCCACCUCUAUCUUUUACAUAAGCUGCACCUUUACUUGAAGUAAAUGAUUGUAACAUUAUAGAAAGUUUUCUAAUAAAACUGACUGACAACAGCGGUAUACAAACUGAUAACAAAUAAAAGUAAGGUAAAUCGUGGCUCAUCGUUUAUAGGGCAGGUUCCUCUAAAUGGCUAUCUUGCCGCCAAAUCCGUUAAAUUUCAUUAUUACUACUAUUUCAAAAUUUAUUUUUUAUUAGUA
rnacentral:rRNA from 1 species